AGAGGACAGAAUUGAAGGGGAGGGCAAGGAUUUUUGGAAUGCACUUGGGAAUUCCAAGUUCAGCCCUGCUCUGUUGCCCUGCUCUGUCCCCUGCUCCCAUUUCCAGCCCCACGACCCCUUUGGGAUGAAGCAGCUUGGGUGUCUAAUUGUGUUGGUUCUAAGGCUGCCACUCUUCUGGUUAUGUCUCACAUGUUGUUAGAAAAUUGAUAACCUCAUCCCAGAACUGCACAUUGUAUUUACAGUGGUUCUCUGUACCCCCAUUUCCUAGUCACAAACGACUUCACUUCUGACUUCAUUUUUUAUUCAUAGGUGAUAGUAGUGAUCAUCUUUGUCUAAUAAGCUCCUAAUUGAGAAGUGAGCAGAAUACAUCUGUAUCAACUCCCAGUGCUGUACAUUUUCUAGCCAUUUCCUAGCUAUUUGUAGCAUCGGUUUUUUGUUUUUGUUUUUUUGCUUUGAUAUAAUAUUCCGUGUUUAACUGGUUUGAUAAAUUAGGGUAAAAGUUGAGAUACUAAAAAUAGAUGUGUUGCUACUAAAAUGCUAAACAUGGUUUCAGUUCAGUAUCUUAUGAAAAACAAAGUUCAGUAUGAAAUCUGUUUAGUAAUAAAGUUAGACUGUCUAGGGACAUCACCAUGUCUAUCAGUUCUUACCUAUUUGAGUCCUACUUAGAAAUCCUUAAAAACAUUUUUAGAAUGCACAUGGUUUUGUCUAAAUUAAACUUCUAGUUUCCAGGGUCAAAAUACUUAUCCAUAAUGUCUGAAGGACUUGGUAUAAUUUAACAAUAUCCUGAAUCUAAUUUCUCAACACUAAAGAAGUUCUGACUAUGACUACAUAAGCUUCUACAUCUGAGAACCCAUGCCAAGUUCUUGCUCCCUUGGCCUGCUUUUCCGUUUACAAAAAGUGGGGGUGGGAGCAGUAGGAUGAUUCCUUCUGUGUUUCUUAAAGGUGUUUUCAGUAUAAUCAUGUUUAUUUUCCAUGUGCUAGAAGUGGGGACUGGAUCUUUGCCAUUUCCUGAACAGUUAAUUAGCAAGCUGCUUACCUGCAGUGAUCUGCAAAUUCAUUGAUGCCACACCCUGCUCUCCUGAAGGGUUGUCAUGGUGGCUGCAGGCAAAGACUGAACAGGCAGAUUCAGAGUUCAGAAAACAGCGUAUUCCUGAGCGGGACUAGAUGUCUUUUUGCUUUCUAAUACAAAGUCCAGAUCAUUUGAACUCAGACUUCGGAGAUUAGCAUAACUGUCUUGAUAAGUUUGCUCUCUUUACGUCUCUCUGUAACAAGGUCUUUCUGCCUGUGGUAGCCCUCCGGAGAAGUGAUGUGCAGAAGAGAUCACCAGGAAGAACGUGCCAGAAUGAUUGCUUUUAUUUAAAAUCUACCAUCCAUUAACUUAAAGGUUAAGCUGCCACCUACAUUUGGCAAUGUUAUAUGCUUCUAACAGUGUUUUCUCACUGUUAAAAUGUUUGUGCAUAUAAUUUAAGAUUAUAGAGUAUACCUACUCCAUGAGCAAUAGUAUAAAUAUUUUACCAUAGGGCUAAUACUGCAGACCUUUCUUCCUAAAGCAGUAAAGUAUCUUGGACCAAAUUUCCCUGGUUAUAUUACCACAUACAUUUAUCUCCUAUUAAAGUUUAUAUUGACUUUAGAUAACAUUUCCAGUAGUUGAAAGAUGCUAAUGAAAUAUAAAGGGCAACUUGCAGUCUGAUAAAAUUACACGAUGAGGUGCUUCAGCUGUUGAACACAGUGAAGUAACUGCUGAGCUGGUUAUGUCCCUUAUGAUUUUAUUUGUAUUGAGUUCAUUUGAAUCUUUCAAGUUGACCCUGUGUGUCUGCUUUGUUUCAGUGGCCUUAGCAGAGGUGUGCAGUACCCUUUCGUUUACGAGAUUAGGGGAGUACCACAAAUCUAAAACCUAAGAAUAAAGGGUGAGAUUAAAGCAUGUUACUCUGACUCUACAUCAUUUUGGGUAAAAUGUGAUCUUCAUUACUACUUUCAUAUAUAUAGGUUUCUAAAAUUUGUUGAAAUCAGUCAUUAACGCUGGACCAGAAGAGUUCAGGUGGAUUAAUCUGUCAUCACUGUGGGCUCUUGGGGGUAUGGCUGGCUUGAGUCUGUUUAGAUUGCUUCCAAGCCCUUUCUGUUGAUUUUGUCCAUUUUCUCUACAGCUCCUAUGAGUUGGUGUUACAUUGCUAUUGACCAAAAGCCUGAACUGCCCUAGAUAUUUAAAUUCUAAUAUUUACUUGCCAGGCGCUAAUGGACACAAUCAUAACCCAAAAUGAAAAUAUAGUAAAUCAAAUAGCUUUUUUUCUGCUGUGAAUUCAGCUGGCAUCUGGAUAUUUGAAUAGACCAAUUAAAAAUACAAGUAUCUUGGCAACUUCAUUGCUACAUCUUAGUGUUUAAAUUACAGCAGUAUUAGAGAUAUAAACCAAACAUACCUUAUCUAACAUCCCCCAAAACUCAUCAAUUCUAAUUCUAGUUAGAAAGUCUUCAAGACUCCUGUCUAAAGCUUUGAUUUGUAAUAAAUAGGAUUAACUAAGUUUGUGCAUUUAUGAAUAGAAUCUUUAACAGUUUUUAAGAACUCUGCAAAGGAUAGCAUUGGUUAUUAACUUGAUAAUUUCAUUAAAUUUUUUUCUUGAGACAGGGUCUCACUCUGUCGCCCAGGCUGGAGUGCAGUGGUGUGUGUGAUCUCGGCUCACCGUAGCCUCCGCCUCUGGGGCUCAAGCGCUUCUCCGGGCUCGGCCUUUCAAAGUGCUGGGACUACACGCGUGUGAGGCACUGUGCCUGGCCAACUUGAUAAUUUCAAUAGCAAAACGGUAUCCUAUAGAAGGCUUGUUUCUUAGUUGGUAUAAGUUGCUAAGUAAUCAUUAAUUCAACUCGAUAAACCUGGUGGGUUUUGUGUUUCGUUCGUGUCAUUUGUGAAGCCCGACAGGAAGAGUGGAGCCCUGCGCUGUGUGCGUGCGUUUUAAAGCGUGCUGGAAACGUCUACAAUGGCAGCGCAGCCAGCAGCCACGCGGCCUUGGCCACCCCCGAGCUCACGGCCGCAGCUCGGCCCGGGCCCCCUGGACGUCCGCCCUGGGCAGGGGCCGCCGCCUCCGAACGCAUCUCUGCCUCCCUAGGACGAGGCAGCCGAGGGAGGAGAGCGGCCAGGACUGCGCUGUGGCUGGACGGCGGAUGAGGCUUCUUUCAACAAGCUGCUGCCCUGGGCGCACUGCCUUGCGGGUCACUGUGGCUGCUCCUGUGCUUCAGCGGGACUAGAAGCUGCCGCCCACGGGCAGCGGGGAAGAAAUCUGGGCAAAGCCAUGAGCCCUCCGAGGCUGAGCUCCAGUUUAGGGGCUCACCUGCCUUGCAUCGUUCCGAGUCCUGUACUGGACUGCAUCAGGCCGCGUCUCCUCAGGAAAGGAAAGGGGAUGCCCCUGAGGAGACUCGGUGCUCCCCACAGAACUCCCCAGCGAUCCCAGAUGGGAGAAGCUGAGCUGCGCGGGCGCUGCCCUCACUCCGGGGGUGAAACGUGGCUGUGAUUUCCACAGGUGACAGAAACCAGGCAGUGAUUCAACUCGUAUUUGACUUUCACAUUCUCCAGCAAUGUUCUUCAAUCUGGGAAGGGUAGAAAAUUAAAGAAAGGUAAGGAGAGUUAAAAAAUGAGAUCAUUUCAAAGUAGAUGCAGUCUUGAAGCCCAAAUGAAUUACGAGAUCCAGUUUGAAAGCUGCUGCAGAAGUGAUUUCAGAAUCGCGCGGUGGCUCCGGAAUGGGGAACUGCUGCUGAAAGAGGUCGGAAAGGGUGGGGACUGAAUUUCGGGUAAGAGGACGCCAGUGGUUCUGGAGCACGCGGCCUUCAGCCAUGCCUGCGUUCACAAGUACAUUAUUUCAGACUCACUCCAAGUUUACAUCUCUAAGCCCAUCCAAGCCAUGGCAGCGCGAACCUCUCCCUCCCCCAGCUCAAGGCCUCUGGGCCCCCAGGACAGAGGACAGAAGAGCCAGCCCCUCCUGGCUCAGGGUUGCCGGGACCCCGUGAUGGCUGCUGUGCCUCUCCUGAGGUGCCAGGUGAGAGCUGAGACUUCUGCUCCCGCUGCACCAGCUCCGUUUGUCUCCAGGCGCAGUGUCAGUCUCGUUCUUUAAGCGCUUCUGAGGUCCCAUCAGCACAGGUCUCGUCUUACCUGGAAAGGCUUGUUGCCUUGUGCCUGGGACUUUUUAUUCUGUG
rnacentral:lncRNA from 1 species